CUGAGUGAUAACUCUCUAAACCAUUGUGAACGACUACCUCGUUGCUUCGGCGGGCGACGGCCUCAGGCUCGCGCCACCCCCGGGGAGAGGAGGAGCGUCAAACUCUUAGUUAUUAAUUGGCUUCUCUGAGUAGCUUAUUAAAUAAGUAA
rnacentral:misc_RNA from 1 species